ACAGUUUUGUACAUAUGGAACAUGAAAAAGCUGUAUUACUACUGAAGAGUUUCCAGAACACAGUAGACCUAGUUAUUCAACGAAAACAUUUACUGUAGCUGAAUCUCUGAGGCCUAAAGUAUAUUAUUCAUAAACUGAAAACAUUUGGAGACAUUUCAUUGAAGAAUAUAACAAAAACAUUAAAUAUUAUGAUUAUAAAUAUUAAAAUAAAUAUUUGUUGGGCAUCAACUACAUAUCAGGUACUAUGAGGGAUGUAAUGUGGUCCCCUCAGCACAGAAUCUCACAGUCCAGAGGAAAGAUGAGAGAAGUUCCACAUCAAAGACAGUACAAGGCAAUGUGUAUCUUUCCCAUUCUGCCUGAGAUCAUAGCUAUUUGGUGUUUGUUUUUCCUAUGAACUUUAAGCUUUUUGAGAGAGAGGAUCAGACAAUACUUAACAAAGGACUUCUAGACAGAAGAGCCUCAGGAGAGAGGAGUAAUCGUUCAGCUCUUCUUGGUUUCUGCCUUCCCUCCUGCUCUUCCAGAUGUCAAAAGAAGAAUUUACAGUGAAAAAUAAGAAACUUAGUGUCAUUGCGCAUCAACUUAGAAAAUGUGAAUUGAUUAAAAAUAUGUGAUGGAUUGUGCAGCAUGCUUACAUUUGAAAAUGGAGAUUGUGCCUUUAAAUACUUAAUCAAAGGACUCCUGACCUUCAAGUACCAGUUUGGGCAUAUUACUGGAGAUCCAGGUUGAAAGUCUUUCCACUCAGAGGACUCUUAUUUGGCUUGAAUGUGGAAAAGGCAUCUGGUUCAG
rnacentral:lncRNA from 10 species